GCCAGUGUGGUGUAGUUGGCUUGAGUGCUAGAGUAGUACUCUGGGAGACCAGGGUUCAAAUCCCUGCUCGGCU